GAUGAACGCUGGCGGCGUGCCUAAUACAUGCAAGUCGAGCGAACAGACGAGGAGCUUGCUCCUCUGACGUUAGCGGCGGACGGGUGAGUAACACGUGGGUAACCUACCUAUAAGACUGGGAUAACUUCGGGAAACCGGAGCUAAUACCGGAUAAUAUAUUGAACCGCAUGGUUCAAUAGUGAAAGACGGUUUUGCUGUCACUUAUAGAUGGAUCCGCGCCGCAUUAGCUAGUUGGUAAGGUAACGGCUUACCAAGGCAACGAAGCGUAGCCGACCUGAGAGGGUGAUCGGCCACACUGGAACUGAGACACGGUCCAGACUCCUACGGGAGGCAGCAGUAGGGAAUCUUCCGCAAUGGGCGAAAGCCUGACGGAGCAACGCCGCGUGAGUGAUGAAGGUCUUCGGAUCGUAAAACUCUGUUAUUAGGGAAGAACAAAUGUGUAAGUAACUAUGCACGUCUUGACGGUACCUAAUCAGAAAGCCACGGCUAACUACGUG
rnacentral:rRNA from 1 species